rnacentral:lncRNA from 10 species
AGCCAUGCUGAAGUGCGUGAUGAGCGGCAGUCAGGUGAAAGGUGGAGCGGCCUUUGUUGUCUUCCCAUUUAGCAGAGAGAAAAGCAGACGUUAAUAGUAUUUGGGAAAGCAGUUCAAGCUCUAUCACGAAUUAGUGACGAGUUCUGGCUAGACCCAUCUAAAAAAGGUCUUGCUCUAAGAUGUGUGAAUUCUUCUCGGUCAGCAUAUGGAUGUGUCCUGUUCUCUCCUGUGUUUUUUCAGCAUUAUCAAUGGUCAGCUUUAGUGAAAAUGAGUGAAAAUGAACUUGACACAACACUGCAUUUAAAAUGCAAAUUGGGAAUGAAGUCAAUUUUGCCCAUCUUUAGAUGUCUGAAUUCCCUUGAAAGAAAUAUAGAGAAGUGCAGAAUAUUCACCAGAUCUGAUAAAUGCAAAGUAGUUAUUCAAUUCUUCUACAGACAUGCAACGUGGAUGGAACUAGAGGUCACUAUGUUAAGUGAAAUAAGCCAGGCAUGGAAAGUCAAGUAUUG